GCCCGCGUAGCUUAAUGGUUAGAGCUGGCGGCUCAUAACCGUCUGGUUGAAGGUUCGAAUCCUUCCGUGGGCA
rnacentral:tRNA from 1 species